rnacentral:rRNA from 1 species
UACGAACUGUGCGAACGUUAUUCGGAAUCACUGGGCUUACAGGGUGCGUAGGCGGCUUAGCAAGUCAGGUGUGAAAGCCCCGGCUCAACCGGGGAACUGCGCUUGAAACUGCUGAGCUCGAGUCAGCUAGAGGUACACGGAACUUCCAGUGGAGCGGUGAAAUGUGUUGAUAUUGGAAGGAACACCGGGAGGCGAAAGCGGUGUACUGGGCUGG